rnacentral:lncRNA from 1 species
CCACUACAUCCCAUUUCACUCACCCCAUCUUAUCACCCCUCUACACCACAUUUCCUCCACCUCUCCAUCGGAGAUAGCCACCGGCUCCGACAUUCACUCUGACAACCGCUCAGGCAGCAGCUCCGAUGAGUGGUCGGACAAACUGUUCCGACGACUACUCCAACAAACUGCUCCGGCAACUAUUCCAACGAUUGUUCCGGCUCUAGUUAUAGAAAAAUCUCCAAAAAUUGUGAUGGUCGUAGUGGUGCAUUGUAGUUAUCAGAUUUGCAACCGUAUUAUCUGUGACCAUACUUGUGUUAUAUGUGACUAAUUUACUAACUUAUGUUAUCUGAGAAUCACCGUGACCAACUUUGCCUUCAGUGUGACUAAUUGUGAACAAAUUUGUAUUCAGUGUAACUGUCUGCGACCAGAUCAAUCUCAAGUCACAAUCGGUCAUACUCAAUACAAAAUUGGUCACAACCAGAUCUCGAACAGAAAAAAUCAGAUCUCCAACCACCACAGCAGAUCUGUUCGAAAAAAUAAUAACCACUACCACUACUAACAUCUUUAACUCAAAUUGAUGAUCAUAAAUACUACAUUUACCUCAAAUCCACCACAAUCAUCACUACCAUAACUUUCACCAACCCUUCAAAAAACACCAACCAGCUCCACCACACUUCUUUAGUGAAACUCCGGUGAAAGAAAGGUAGGUGGUCGGAAUCUAGAGGGUGGUUCGGGCAGAAGUCGUAGAUCUGAUUUUUGGGUAAAAGAGUGCCGAACUAAUUUUUGGGGGGAAGAAAUAGAGUGUGUGGGUUAAAAAUUGAUACAAGAUCUGGGGUAAAUUAAUACGAGGUAUGUGACCAAGUUUGUACCGUUUGUGACCAAAUCAAUCUCAAGUCACAACCAGUCACAAUCAACACAAAAUAGAUCACAAACAGUCAACCAAAUCUCGAACAGAAAAAAUCAAAUCUCCAACCACCACAUCAGAUUUGUUCAAAAAAAUAAUAACCACCACCACUACUAACAUCUUUAACUCAAAUCCCCAACAACAAUCAUCUCUACCAUAACUUCCACCAACACCAAAAACAUCAACCAAUUAAUUACUGAAUAUUUCUCAAAAAAGAUUUCCAAGAUUCUUCUUCAGUUAUUUCUUGAAAAGAUGAGAAAGAUCAUGAGAGAGAAGCCGUAGAUCUGAUUGUUCUUCACCAUAUGGUCCCCACGUUCACGCUCAAUUUUCUUCUCCUCACAGAUUGGUUUUGCUUUAGGUGAACCAUGUACUGCAUUGACACUUUCCCAAAAUCUAAGCUCAUCAGCUUUCAAAGAAGAGAUUUGUGCAAAACUCCGACGAGAGAAGUGGUAGGUGGCCGAAAUCUAAAAGGUGCGGGAGGGGAAGAAGCCACCGAUGAGAUUUUUGGGUAAGAGGGUGCUGAUCAAUUUUUGGGGAAAAAAAGAGAGAGAGUGUGUGUUGGUUAGAAAAUGAAUCGGGGUAUGGGGUAAAAGAAGUGUCAGAGGUGGUAGAG